CUGAGUCGCCGGGGGAGUCCGUCUAGCGGACUGAGAAGGCAUCGAGCGCCGUCGUUUAACGACGCGUCUGAGGAAACCCUGGAACCUGAUCCGGUUGAUACCGGCGGAGGAAGCGCGACAUGAUCUUUAC
rnacentral:ncRNA from 2 species